CAUUUUUGAGACUUGUGUCUUUUAUUUUCUUUUUACCUUCUUCUUUUUCUCUUUCUUUUUCUAUUUUCUUUGUCAUUUGUGCUUGAUCCUCUUCCACUUGAGAAGGUGUGAGAGGAUGAAGUGCAAACUUCUUUUUAUUGUGAGUGAUGGUUAUUUCAUUGGUGUGGCCAUUAUGUAGAGAUUCUUUAUGAAAAAGCCAAGGCCUUCCCAAUAAAAUGUGGCAAGCAUCCAUAGGUACUAUA
rnacentral:lncRNA from 1 species